rnacentral:rRNA from 1 species
UACAGAGGUCCCAAGCGUUGUUCGGAUUCAUUGGGCGUAAAGGGUGCGUAGGCGGCGCGGUAAGUCGGGUGUGAAAUCUCGGAGCUUAACUCCGAAACUGCAUUCGAUACUGCCGUGCUUGAGGACUGGAGAGGAGACUGGAAUUUACGGUGUAGCGGUGAAAUGCGUAGAUAUCGUAAGGAAGACCAGUGGCGAAGGCGGGUCUCUGGACAGUUCCUGACGUGAGGCACGAAGGUCAGGGGAGCAAACGGGG